AAAACAUAGAAAUAAAUGGUAAUAUCCUUCUCUGUGCUGUGUACCAGGCCUUGGUCCAGACCCCAGUCCUAUUCCCAGUCUUCCUCCUCAUGGGACGCUGCAUCCCAGAGGGACUACUCUCAGACCCCAGCACUGUCCCAGGACUCUGCCUCCUCUUCUACCCACAGAAUGAGGUACCCUCUGGCCCUGCACAGGCCCUCAAACGAGCCUCACUGGAGAGACGCUCCUGAAGAGACAGAACCCACCUUCUCACUCCACUUCGCCUUGGAGGACCAGGGCCCUUCCAGACCACCCUUGCCCAGAGUGGAGCACCAAAGAGAGAAGCCAACUGGGGCCUGUGGACCACCAUUCUCCAGAGCUAAUGUUAGCGUAGCCCCAAAGAACCACGUAAAAAGCCUAGAAACUCAAAGUGAAGGCUGGCACUUAGGCAGUGGAGAUGGGGAAUGGCAAUGCCCUGAACGUAGCCAAGAAGAAACCUCCAUAGCCCCAGAGGACCAAAGAGAGAGGCUGGCUAAAGCCAAGCCCAUUGAAGUAGCCUUAGCUGGUGGAGGAGAUGCUGACCGUCGGGCCCCAGUGCCUGUUACUAAAUGGCAGUUUGGGAGUAUAGUACUGCCUCCACCUCAGAGAGCUUACAAGGCCGAAGAGAAGGCAGACUGUGACAAAAAGAGACCAGCGAGAGGGCUGUUACUUCCUGCAUCAGAGAGUGAGGACUUCACAAUGAAGGACAUGGACAGUGGUCCGAGCUUUGAACUAAGAAUGGAGGAUGACAUUGGGGAAAGUUGUGCAUUGGAGAAGGAUAGCUUUGGAGCAAGUCACACAGUAGAAAGGGAUGGCUUUGGAGCAAGUCAAGGUUUGGAGAGGGAUGGCUUUGGAGCAAGUCACAUAGUAGAAAGAGAUGGCUUUGGAGCAAGUCACACAGUAGAAAGGGAUGGCUUUGGAGCAAGUCAAGGUUUGGAGAGGGAUGGCUUUGGAGCAAGUCACAUAGUAGAAAGAGAUGGCUUUGGAGCAAGUCACACAGUAGAAAGGGAAAGCUUUGGAGCAAGUCACACAGUAGAAAGGGAUGGCUUUGGAGCAAGUCACACAGUAGAAAGGGAUGGCUUUGGAGCAAGUCACACAGUAGAAAGGGAUAGCUUUGGAGCAAGUCACACAGUAGAAAGGGAUAGCUUUGGAGCAAGUCACACAGUAGAAAGGGAUGGCUUUGGAGCAAGUCACACAGUAGAAAGGGAUGGCUUUGGAGCAAGUCAUGCUUUGGAGAAGGAUGGCUUUGGAGCAAGUCAAGGUUUGGAGACUGACUUUGGAGCAAGUCACACAGUAGAAAGAGAUGGCUUUGGGGCAAGUCAUUCAAUGGAGCGAUAUGGUUUUGGAGCAAGUCAUUCACUGAAGAGAGAUGAGGGUGAUGUCACUGGGGGCCACAGGGACAGCACAGAAAGCCCGUGUGUAGUUGGGUUAGUUGAUCAGCAGGGGGCGCUGCAUGGAGACACAGCCCAGUCAGAGGAGGAGAUUGUGACAGGAGGAGGACCAAGGGAGAACCUCAGCGAGAGAGAUCCCUUUAAGAGGAAACGGCUCUUCGGUGAUAUGACUACUGACAACCAGAGAGGGAUGGGGGGUGGAGAGAUGGGGGGAAGAGUGGAGAGGGAGAGAAAGGAUGACAUCAAUAAAGGAGGGUUGAAGAAAAAGAUGGAGAGGAAGAACAGCAGGAGUAGUACCAAACCCCACCAGCAGAGGAAGGUGUCACCCUCACUGGGGCAGAUGAGGGAUGGAGAGGGCCAGGGGGUGACAGAGACUGAUAGUCACCCAGAAGAGAGAAGGAACAUGGAUGGGCCAUUGGUGACAGCUGCACAGAGGAACAGUGGAGGAAACACAGAACCCUUAGCUGCUGGACAUUUCAUUCCGAAGCCGUCUCAGGAGGGUGGGAGAGUAUUCAGAGCCCCCACUCUGCGGGGCACCUGUCUGGGACAGACCCCCCUGGCUACUAAUCAUCACAACGACACUCAGGUAUUUUACCGCUUCAGCCAGAGGACCAUACUGCUUCACAUAAUAGAAUGUUUUAUCUGCAGUCCGUAAUUCAAAAAAACAAUACAAAAUGGCCUCCCAGACGCCAUUUGUUGUGCUGAACAGUGAGGGAUGGGCCUGGAGAAAUGUAAGCUUGUAAUAGUUGGUAUUUAG
rnacentral:lncRNA from 1 species